rnacentral:rRNA from 1 species
UACGUAGGGUGCGAGCGUUGUCCGGAUUUAUUGGGCGUAAAGAGCUCGUAGGCGGCCUGUCGCGUCGACCGUGAAAACCCGCAGCUCAACUGCGGGCUUGCGGUCGAUACGGGCAGGCUGGAGUUCGGUAGGGGAGACUGGAAUUCCUGGUGUAGCGGUGAAAUGCGCAGAUAUCAGGAGGAACACCGGUGGCGAAGGCGGGACUCUGGGCCGAUACUGACGCUGAGGAGCGAAAGCGUGGGGAGCAAACAGG